rnacentral:rRNA from 1 species
AGCGAACGCUGGCGGCAGGCCUAAUACAUGCAAGUCGAGCGGGUCCUUCGGGAUUAGCGGCGGACGGGUGAGUAACGCGUGGGAACGUGCCCUUUGGUACGGAACAACUGAGGGAAACUUCAGCUAAUACCGUAUGUGCCCUUCGGGGAAAGAUUUAUCGCCAUUGGAGCGGCCCGCGUUGGAUUAGGUAGUUGGUGAGGUAAAGGCUCACCAAGCCUACGAUCCAUAGCUGGUCUGAGAGGAUGACCAGCCACACUGGGACUGAGACACGGCCCAGACUCCUACGGGAGGCAGCAGUAGGGAAUCUUGCGCAAUGGGCGAAAGCCUGACGCAGCCAUGCCGCGUGAAUGAUGAAGGUCUUAGGAUUGUAAAAUUACUUUCACCGGGGACGAUAAUGACGGUACCCGGAGAAGAAGCCCCGGCUAACUUCGUGCCAGCAGCCGCGGUAAU